GCACCACAACGGGUGGAGCCUGCGGUUUAAUCGGACUCAACGCCGGGAAACUCACCGGACAAGACAGCUGAAUGAUAGUCGGGCUGAAGACUCUACUUGACUAGCUGAGAGGAGGUGCAUGGCCGUCGUCAGUUCGUACUGUGAAGCAUCCUGUUAAGUCAGGCAACGAGCGAGACCCACGCCAACAGUUGCUAGCUCGUCCUCCGGGAUGGAGAGGACACUGUUGGGACCGCCUCUGCUAAAGAGGAGGAAGGAGCGGGCGACGGUAGGUCAGUAUGCCCCGAAUUCUCCGGGCUACACGCGGGCUACAAUGGAUGGGACAAUGGGUUCCGACACCGAAAGGUGAAGGCAAUCUCUUAAACCCAUUCUUAGUUCGGAUUGAGGGCUGAAACUCGCCCUCAUGAAGCUGGAAUCCGUAGUAAUCGCGUUUCAACAUAGCGCGGUGAAUACGUUCCUGCUCCUUGCACACACCGCCCGUCAAACCACCCGAGUGGGGGUUAUGUGAAGGCGUGGUUUUUGCCACGUUCGAACAUAGGUUCCGCAAGGGGGGUU
rnacentral:rRNA from 1 species